ACUGUCUUGAUUUGUAUUUCAAAAAAAAAAAAAAAAAUGAAAAAUUUUUUGCCUGUUCUUUUUGCUCUUGCCUGCAUGUUAGCUAUUUCCAAUGGUCAAUGUGGUGAAAAUUGUCCUCUAGUUUAUGCUCCAGUUUGUGCAACAAAUGGUCAAUUUUAUCAAAGCUUCUCCAACAAUUGUUUCUUGUCAAUCGAAAAUUGUAAAACCAAUAAUGCUUAUCGACAAGUAGAUAAUCGAUAUUGUCAAUCAAUGCUGGAU